rnacentral:rRNA from 1 species
UACGAAGGGGGCUAGCGUUGCUCGGAAUCACUGGGCGUAAAGCGCACGUAGGCGGGUCGUUAAGUCAGGGGUGAAAUCCUGGAGCUCAACUCCAGAACUGCCCUUGAUACUGGCGAUCUCGAGUUCGGGAGAGGUGAGUGGAACUGCGAGUGUAGAGGUGAAAUUCGUAGAUAUUCGCAAGAACACCAGUGGCGAAGGCGGCUCACUGGCCCGGUACUGACGCUGAGGUGCGAAAGCGUGGGGAGCAAACAGGG